GGGAUGCCCACAUGUGGGAACGUCCCGAAUUGCAGGUUUCAGUUCCAUACAGCCAAAGAUGGCUCAGCAGCUGAUAAAAUGCCCAAGUCGUUUUAGUGGACAGAGAAAAGCUUGAAAUUACUCUAGCAAUAUCUUCACGUUGACAGCUGAUGUGUUGUGCACUGAAGUCCACAAGCGAAGGGAAAAGGUGAGGAGGAGAGCGUGUAGAUAGUUACGAUAAGGAAUUGUAUACAUACACACAACAAGCAAAGUGAUCAUACUGUUUUUGUGGCUGCUAUGAAAGUGAACUGUGUUUGCGUGUGAUCAGGGGUGUACUCAUUCCGCCGAUUCUGUUGUAAAAUGUUUUUAAACGAAAGAAGGAUAAACACACCUGAAUUUGCCCAAUAAAAACUCUAAUUUUCAACUGUUGGACUAAUGAUUACACCCUAGAUCAGCUAGAUGCAGGCAAGAGUGUGCAAGACAGUAUUAAAUGUGUCACUGUCUGUCACCUUGACGUUGUAAACUUUCAUCCAUAGCAAGGUUGUAGCAACCUCAUGAUGGGUACAGAGAAAAUGUGAGUAUCAUGUAGUAGCCUAAACCUAUCGAUGUUACAUUGAGCUGGGGGAAUGGAAUAUAACAAUCAUCAUGUAUGCUGUAAUGGAAACAAGGCCAUGCUCAAAAUAAAUAAAUAAUCCUCCCUCAUCUUAAACGGCACCGAACACCACUGGUGUACAGUAAGUGUAUAUUUUACAUUUGUGACAUUAUUGAUGUGAUAUGAAAGUAAAGGGCUUUAUGUUUCGAGCACCGUAUCGCAAUUGAGAAUCUAUUCACGUUUGGAUAGGGUUUUUGGCUGCCAGAGCCAGUCAACCUCUGAAAAUAAGUUCCAAGGACAUAACGAGUAAUGGCAGGCUCAUUAAGAGCACAUCUUGGGCUAGGCCGGUUCUAGUCUUUUGGGGCCAUAAGCAAGAUUUUGCUGGGGGGCUUCCCCCUCCUCCUCGCAGGCAAAACAUUUUAGUGACCCCCCCUCCCCCCAUUUUGCCAUGGGGUGGAGAAAUUGUUUCAGUUUUAAAGUGAUUUUCCUGCAAUUCUAACCAUGUUGCCAUGACUUAUGCCAUGUUAAUGAUAUCUGAGUGACUAACAAAUUCAAUGCGGGUCCCGUGGAGUUCAGGGCCCCUGGGCAUGUGCCUUGUUGGUAUUUGGCCAUGAUUUAGAUAGUCUAGCCAGCUAACUUACCAAUCUAAAAAUUGUUAGCUAACAUGGCUAUUUGAGUGACUGACAUAACAGAAAAAUUGCUGAUGCACAACUAAAUUUCAAAGUUGCACCUUGUGUAUUCUACUUUUCCAACUCUCAACAGUAAGUUGACACCCUGACUGAGUUCAUACAAAUAAAUAGGGUCCCUAAGCCGGCUCUGAAGCAACAAAACAAACGGAGACAUAGGCCCUAUGACUUUCUAUCUAGAAUAUACAAGAGUCCUAGAGUCCUGUGUGGCUCAGUCGGUAGAGCAUGGCGCUUGCAACGCCAAGCGUCGUGGGUUCGAUUCCCACUGGGGCCACCCAUAUGUAAAAGUAGUGGCCCCAGCCGACUUGUAAGUCGCUUUGGACAAAAGCGUCUGCUAAAUGGGAUAUAUUAUUAUUAUUAUAUUACAAUGUUCUAAGUAUACUUGAUUCACAGGUGUACUCUGGUCCUUUUAUAUAGGUUUAUUCAGGUAAACAUUUUUGUCUGAAAUACUGGUACUGGGAACUCUUGUACUGUGGAAAAGUAUUGGUGUGGUGCACAUGUCAAGGGAAAUAUUUAAUUCAAUUAGAGCAUAUGAUUAAAUAACAAAAACGUAUCUGGGGGCACCAGGUUACAUAAAACCAACAUUGUCUAUGCUUUAAGAAUAGAUUGCUUUAUAGAGCUCCAUAACGUCUUUAUGAUUAAAUGAAUUGUAUUUUAUAAGGCCAUGUUCUGCAUCUGGUGGACAGAAAUGAUUAACUCCAUAUCGCUAAAGGUUUUGGUCUCACUGCACCAAUAGAUGGCGCUAAUAGACAAUAAAUUCCUUUUGAUAGUUAGUUUUAUUUCAGGCUUUUGAAAGUGUCAAGGUCCAUUUGUUUUUUUAAGGAUGUUUGACAAAUGUUAAACUGGAAUACUGUCAGAAUAUCCUCUUUUCACAAUUCUCUUUGUCACAUUAUAAAAUAGGGUGGGUUAAGUUUCUGAAAGUGUCAUUUUUGUGAGUGCAUAAUCUGAGAUGUUUGAUCAGAAUUAACCAAAAAAUUAUCUUUGGCAAGAUUGAUCUUUUGCAAAUUCAUAAACAUCACUUGAACAAAAUGAAGCCGAGGAAAGUCAGAGAAAUGUCCAAGUUUCCCUUUCAUGUCCCAUUCCCAGCUGGCCACCAGCAGUCUCGUACCCUGAUAGGCGAAGACCUCCAGGAUGACCACAUGAAACGUGGGCAACAUCAGGACCUACCAGCUGUCAUGAACAACGGAGAGCUAUGGCAUGCCAUCGUCUGCCACAUUGCACCUCCAUAAGUAAAGACAAUGACCCAACACACCUCCAGACUGUGUAAGGGCUAUUUGACCAAGAAGGAGAGUGACUGAGUGCUGCAUCAGAUGACCUGGCCUCCACAAUCACCUGACCUCCACCCAAUUGAGAUGGUUUGGGAGAGAGAAGAGAGAAGGAGAAGCAGCCAACAAGUGCUCAGCAUAUAUGGGAACUCUUUCAAGACUGUUGGAAAUGCAUUCCAGGGCACGGAGUUCCAAAGAGGGUGGAGCCUAUGUUUGGGAUCUCCAGUGUCUCUCCACGUGAUGGCAGGGGUAUCACUGACCACUGUUUCCCCACAAAGGAGUAACACCCUCUUUUUUUAAAUAUAUUUUUAUAUAUAUAUUUUCUUUACCUGCCAUAUGAAAACAAACAGAGGGAGAGGAGCUACACAGACUACUGAAAGCCCAGGAUACUGCACAGAGGAGCAAGAAUCAAGUUGGAUAAACCAAGGAGAGGUACCUUGAACAAAAAAGAAAAUCAUUUAAAGAAAAACAUCAUGUCUUAUUCAACAUUGAAUGUUUUGUCAAGUUAUUGAAAUUCAAGUCAUUAACAUGGGCAUCAUAUUUGUCUUUCAUUUCACUGUCAUACUUCAUCUAUAGAAUAAAAAGAUUGAUUGGUUGACUCUA